AACAAGGUUUCCGUAGGUGAACCUGCGGAAGGAUCAUUGCCGUAACCCGAAAAGCAGACCCGUGAACACGUUUAAAUAUCCUCGUGAUCGCGAUUUGGAUGCCUUUGUGUCCGACAUCACGACCUCGAACCCCAAGUGGCGCAAGUCUCUUGGAUGUACUAACCUCUGGGCGCGGCAAGCGCCAAGGAAAACCAUACUGAACGGCCUCUCGUUCCUCUCGCUGUCAGCGGAGGUCAGGAAUCGAUGAGGAGCGUGAAUUGAAUAGAUGUAAUGACUCUCGGCAACGGAUAUCUCGGCUCUCGCAUCGAUGAAGAACGUAGCGAAAUGCGAUACUUGGUGUGAAUUGCAGAAUCCCGUGAACCAUCGAGUCUUUGAACGCAAGUUGCGCCUGAAGCCAUUCGGUUGAGGGCACGUCUGCCUGGGCGUCACGCAUAUCGUCACCCCCAUCACGUCGUCUUCAUCAUUACAAGUGUCAUGAUAUGACGUCGGUGAAGAAUGGGUGGACAUUGGCCUCCCGUUAUCCCUGCGUAGUGGUUGGCCCAAAUUGUUUAUCGUGUCGAUCGAUGUCACACGAUAUGUGGUGGUUGGAUUCAUCAACUUAUUAACUAUCGUGUGGGAUUGCAUCGAGGCACGAGCAUGACCCAAUGGGCACUGGUUUCCCUCGAUUGCGACCCCAGGUCAGGCGGGAACACCCGCUGAGUUUAAGCAUAUCAAUAA
rnacentral:rRNA from 1 species